UGAGGAACAUGACCUUCGGCGGGGGAUAGCCGGCCCAACGGCCGGGUAAUACCGCGUACGACCUUUCGGGGACAUCCCCGGCUGGUGAAAGCAGCAAUGCACCGAAGGAGUGCCUCGCGGCCUAUCAGCUAGUUGGUGAGGUAACGGCUCACCAAGGCGACGGACGGGUAGCUGGUCUGAGAGGAUGGCCAGCCANAUUGGGACUGAGACACGGCCAGACUCCUACGGGNGCAGCAGG
rnacentral:rRNA from 1 species